CAGCAGCCACGGUAAUACGAAGGGGGCUAGCGUUGCUCGGAAUGACUGGGCGUAAAGGGCGCGUAGGCGGUCACGAUAGUCAGAUGUGAAAUUCCUGGGCUUAACCUGGGGACUGCAUUUGAUACUGUGUGGCUUGAGUGUGGAAGAGGGUCGUGGAAUUCCCAGUGUAGAGGUGAAAUUCGUAGAUAUUGGGAAGAACACCGGUGGCGAAGGCGGCGACCUGGUCCAUAACUGACGCUGAGGCGCGAAAGCGUGGGGAGCAAACAGGAUUAGAUACCCGGGUAGUCCCUGUCUCUUAUAC
rnacentral:rRNA from 1 species